AAUGUGGCUCAGUUUGGUAGAGCGUUCGGUUAGGGACCGAGAGGCCGCAGGUUCGAAUCCUGUCAUU
rnacentral:tRNA from 1 species